rnacentral:tRNA from 1 species
GGAAGUUGAUGGGGUCUGGUGGCCUCCUCGGUCUUCAAAACCGAUGUGAGCCGAGAAGGCUCGGGCAGGUUCGAUUCCUGCCUCUUCCGCCA